UUGAUUUCUGGCUCAGGAUGAACGCUGGCGGCGUGCUUAACACAUGCAAGUCGAACGGUGAACACGGAGCUUGCUCUGUGGGAUCAGUGGCGAACGGGUGAGUAACACGUGAGCAACCUGCCCCUGACUCUGGGAUAAGCGCUGGAAACGGCGUCUAAUACUGGAUAUGUGACGUGACCGCAUGGUCUGCGUUUGGAAAGAUUUUUCGGUUGGGGAUGGGCUCGCGGCCUAUCAGCUUGUUGGUGAGGUAAUGGCUCACCAAGGCGUCGACGGGUAGCCGGCCUGAGAGGGUGACCGGCCACACUGGGACUGAGACACGGCCCAGACUCCUACGGGAGGCAGCAGUGGGGAAUAUUGCACAAUGGGCGAAAGCCUGAUGCAGCAACGCCGCGUGAGGGAUGACGGCCUUCGGGUUGUAAACCUCUUUUAGCAGGGAAGAAGCGAAAGUGACGGUACCUGCAGAAAAAGCGCCGGCUAACUACGUGCCAGCAGCCGCGGUAAUACGUAGGGCGCAAGCGUUAUCCGGAAUUAUUGGGCGUAAAGAGCUCGUAGGCGGUUUGUCGCGUCUGCUGUGAAAUCCCGAGGCUCAACCUCGGGCCUGCAGUGGGUACGGGCAGACUAGAGUGCGGUAGGGGAGAUUGGAAUUCCUGGUGUAGCGGUGGAAUGCGCAGAUAUCAGGAGGAACACCGAUGGCGAAGGCAGAUCUCUGGGCCGUAACUGACGCUGAGGAGCGAAAGGGUGGGGAGCAAACAGGCUUAGAUACCCUGGUAGUCCACCCCGUAAACG
rnacentral:rRNA from 1 species